UGACACAGCCAACACUCAGCUUUCAGGCAGUGGUCGUGCAGGAGUGAGAAGCCUGAGUAAGAGGGUGAUUGUGAGAAGCGCUGCCCUGCCUCCUUCCUCCCUGAAUGAUGAGUGCCCAUGCCAGAGAAGAACAAAGCUCUGGGAGUUCCUUCUGCAACUCGGCAUUCUUGGGAGAGAUAGAUGAAGAAAGUAAGGCUGAGGAGGGGAGGCUCCGUAUGAUCCCUGGGGUGUCUGUCCACUGGCCUUUCUUUGCAAUUUUACUUAAUCAAGGAAAGCUUAACUAUGGUGUCUUAAGAAGUUCUCAGCCAAGCAACAUUCUGCCCUGAAGGAGGCCAAAUAUGUGAGAGCCACUGAUGAAUGGGUGGAGGAGGGCCCCCAGUGAUCAGCACACAUCUCCCGGGAAGAGACCAGAGCCCAGGGAAGGAGAAGGAAGAGAGAUCUCGGUCUUUCAAACGGAGAUGUCGAGAAGGAGAUGGAGGUUGAAACAGGACUACUUGGGAGACAUUUCUCACCUUCCUUUUGCCUCUGGAUGGGAAGGACCUGUGAGUUCACUCUGCCACUAACCUUUGGUCAUCUGAAAAAUCCCAGGUCUGUGAUUCUGACAUCUUCAAACACCCACCUAUUACAUCUGACCACUUCCCACAUUUCCUCCCUCAGGAGCUGCCAAACCACAAAAAGCCACCAGCGGCAUGUGGCCCUGGUUUCAACCCCACAGAUGGAAAUUUUGGUAAAGGGGGAUGAGUUGCUA